AUGGCCGAGCUGGCAGGACGUCGUGCCAGGUACACCAGGGGUGACAGCCCUGUCCCAGGGGAAGAGGAGCGCUCCUGGGCUCAGCUCCUGGACUCCCAGCCCAGCCCGGGGCACUGGAGCAGCUCCAGCUCCAUCUGCACCGAGGAUUUUGCUGCCAGCUUUUGGGAGGGGAUGGUGGAGCCGCUGCUGUGCCAGCAGGAGCCUGCUGGGGAUGGCUCCAUGGAAGGAGCUCACUCUGGGCAGGAUGAGCCCUUGUUUCCCACAGGGAGAAGCCUGGACACACGGGCACGGCUGGGCAGAGCCCCCUGGCAGGACCCGUCUCCGUCCCGGAGCAGGAGGGAGAGCCUGGAGUCCCUGGGAGCGAGGAUCUCCCGCCUGAGCCAGAGCCAUGUGGGGGUGGCCUGGGGGGUCCCCUGGGCACCCCCCCCUGCCCAGCCAGCCCUGGGCCGCAGGGGCUCUCCCUGUGGGGACCUGCUGGCCACCGCCUCCCCUGGGCAUUCCUGGAGAGCUCCAGGGAUCUCUGCUGGCACGGGCAGGGCUGGGACAAGGACAGGCUCUCCUGGCAGCAGUUAUCCCAGGGCCAGCAGUGCCAGAGCCGGGGGACAUCCCGUCCUGGGCAUGAGGCCACGGGAGCCAGCAGCUCCCUGGGGACGUGGAGGGAAUGUCACCCUCAGGACGGAUGGCACGGCCAGGGGAGGAGCAGGCAGCAGCAGGAGUGCUGGCAGAGCCCUGGGAGCCCCCGGGCAUUGGGGGUCACCCGUGUCCCCAGGGCUGCGUGGGGACCAGAAAGGGGGGCUGCCCUGCAAGGUACGGCCCUGGGCUCAGGGGUUUGGGGUCUGCCACAGGCACAGCUGGGACAGGAUGCACCGCUGGGGGCAGGGAUGGGUGCAGGGAUGCUCCUGGCUCUGCUGGAGAGCAGCGGGAUGUGGCCAGGACACCAAGCUUGGCCCUGCUCCUUGUGUCCCAUGUGGUGGCCACGGGAAAGCACGAAGAAAUGCAAUAGAAAAGGGGCAAACGGGUUUGUGACCCCGGUCCUGGGUGCCAGGGGGUGACGGGGCAGCCGGUGUCACCGCGCUGGUCCCUGCGGAGCCGCCAGGAGGGGACGCGAGAGCCGGGGUCUGGUGCCGAGCCUUGGAGCAAAGGGGACAGAGCCGGGUAAGGGGGCUCCAGGGACGGGUCCUGCACCCUGAGGGCAGGGCUGGGGCCUGGCUGGGGAUGUGGGUGACGCUGUCCCUGGCACAGGACUGGCCUGGCACUGCUGGGACACUCCUGCAACAUCAACCACCGGUGCCACGCUGACCUGCAGAGGAUGGUGAGGUGACCUCGAGGUGGCCCCAGCAGGGGUUGGCCUGGCACUGCUGCGGGUGGCAGGGACAGGCUGGGGGCUCUGCUUUGCUGCUCCUGGGUGCGAUGGGAGGGCCAGAGCCGGCUCCUGGAAGAGGCAAAGGUGUGGGAAUGGGAAAAGAGGGGGGUUUUUCCAGUCUUGGCAGGGGCAGAGAGCCUGUGUGGGCCAGGAGUGGCUGGACAAGGAGAAAACUUCACAAGAAGAGAAACUGGAGCUGCUGGAGGUCAGCGCACUCCCGGUUUUCCAGAGGGGCCAGGAUCACACCGGCAGAGCCGUGGGAAGGAGCACACACAUCCCACCCCUGCCAGCAGCUCAGCCCCUUUUCCAGCCACGUGUAUCCCCUGGGAAACAUUCCGUGCCAAACUGGAUUUAUCCACCGGGAGGUUUUAUUGAGGGACUGAGACUUUUAGGAGAAGGAUUUGUGGGGAAAGCCACCCUUGUGGUGUAGGAAAACUGGGGUGACUGUCUGCAGGUCAGAGGGUCCCUGGAGAGCCCCAGCAGAGGCAGGGAGAGCUGGAAUUUUGGGAAGGGCAGAGAAACAGGCAGGGGUGAGAAUUCCUGGGCACUGACCCACCGAACUUCAGCUCUUUUCCAAUGGGCGUCAAGGCGGGGGUGGUGCCCCCUGGCCGGGAAGGACCCGGACACUGCCCGUGGGAAGAGCCCUGCAGGAGCUGGGGGUGG
ensembl:lncRNA